GCCCCGGUCGUCUAGCCUGGCCUAGGACGCCACCCUUUCAAGGUGGAGAUCAUGGGAUCGAAGCCCAUCCGGGGUACCA
rnacentral:tRNA from 3 species